UACGUAGGGGGCAAGCGUUGUCCGGAAUCAUUGGGCGUAAAGAGCGUGUAGGCGGUCCGGUAAGUCGGCUGUGAAAGUCCAGGGCUCAACCCUGGGAUGCCGGUCGAUACUGCCGGACUAGAGUUCGGAAGAGGCGAGUGGAGUUCCCGGUGUAGCGGUGAAAUGCGUAGAUAUCGGAAGGAACAUCAGUGGCGAAAGCGACUUCCUGGACCAAUACUGACGCUCAUGUGCGAAAGCGUGGGGAGCAAACAGG
rnacentral:rRNA from 1 species